rnacentral:tRNA from 2 species
GCCCAGCUAGCUCAGUCGGUAGAGCAUGAGACUCUUAAUCUCAGGGUUGUGAGUUCGGGCCCCACGUUGGGCG